UUAAGCGACUAAGCGUACACGGUGGAUGCCCUGGCAGUCAGAGGCGAUGAAGGACGUGCUAAUCUGCGAUAAGCGUCGGUAAGGUGAUAUGAACCGUUAUAACCGGCGAUUUCCGAAUGGGGAAACCCAGUGUGUUUCGACACACUAUCAUUAACUGAAUCCAUAGGUUAAUGAGGCGAACCGGGGGAACUGAAACAUCUAAGUACCCCGAGGAAAAGAAAUCAACCGAGAUUCCCCCAGUAGCGGCGAGCGAACGGGGAGCAGCCCAGAGCCUGAAUCAGUGUGUGUGUUAGUGGAAGCGUCUGGAAAGGCGCGCGAUACAGGGUGACAGCCCCGUACACAAAAAUGCACAUAUUGUGAGCUCGAUGAGUAGGGCGGGACACGUGGUAUCCUGUCUGAAUAUGGGGGGACCAUCCUCCAAGGCUAAAUACUCCUGACUGACCGAUAGUGAACCAGUACCGUGAGGGAAAGGCGAAAAGAACCCCGGCGAGGGGAGUGAAAAAGAACCUGAAACCGUGUACGUACAAGCAGUGGGAGCACGCUUAGGCGUGUGACUGCGUACCUUUUGUAUAAUGGGUCAGCGACUUAUAUUCUGUAGCAAGGUUAACCGAAUAGGGGAGCCGAAGGGAAACCGAGUCUUAACUGGGCGUUAAGUUGCAGGGUAUAGACCCGAAACCCGGUGAUCUAGCCAUGGGCAGGUUGAAGGUUGGGUAACACUAACUGGAGGACCGAACCGACUAAUGUUGAAAAAUUAGCGGAUGACUUGUGGCUGGGGGUGAAAGGCCAAUCAAACCGGGAGAUAGCUGGUUCUCCCCGAAAGCUAUUUAGGUAGCGCCUCGUGAACUCAUCUCCGGGGGUAGAGCACUGUUUCGGCAAGGGGGUCAUCCCGACUUACCAACCCGAUGCAAACUGCGAAUACCGGAGAAUGUUAUCACGGGAGACACACGGCGGGUGCUAACGUCCGUCGUGAAGAGGGAAACAACCCAGACCGCCAGCUAAGGUCCCAAAGUCAUGGUUAAGUGGGAAACGAUGUGGGAAGGCCCAGACAGCCAGGAUGUUGGCUUAGAAGCAGCCAUCAUUUAAAGAAAGCGUAAUAGCUCACUGGUCGAGUCGGCCUGCGCGGAAGAUGUAACGGGGCUAAACCAUGCACCGAAGCUGCGGCAGCGACGCUUAUGCGUUGUUGGGUAGGGGAGCGUUCUGUAAGCCUGUGAAGGUGUGCUGUGAGGCAUGCUGGAGGUAUCAGAAGUGCGAAUGCUGACAUAAGUAACGAUAAAGCGGGUGAAAAGCCCGCUCGCCGGAAGACCAAGGGUUCCUGUCCAACGUUAAUCGGGGCAGGGUGAGUCGACCCCUAAGGCGAGGCCGAAAGGCGUAGUCGAUGGGAAACAGGUUAAUAUUCCUGUACUUGGUGUUACUGCGAAGGGGGGACGGAGAAGGCUAUGUUGGCCGGGCGACGGUUGUCCCGGUUUAAGCGUGUAGGCUGGUUUUCCAGGCAAAUCCGGAAAAUCAAGGCUGAGGCGUGAUGACGAGGCACUACGGUGCUGAAGCAACAAAUGCCCUGCUUCCAGGAAAAGCCUCUAAGCAUCAGGUAACAUCAAAUCGUACCCCAAACCGACACAGGUGGUCAGGUAGAGAAUACCAAGGCGCUUGAGAGAACUCGGGUGAAGGAACUAGGCAAAAUGGUGCCGUAACUUCGGGAGAAGGCACGCUGAUAUGUAGGUGAAGUCCCUUGCGGAUGGAGCUGAAAUCAGUCGAAGAUACCAGCUGGCUGCAACUGUUUAUUAAAAACACAGCACUGUGCAAACACGAAAGUGGACGUAUACGGUGUGACGCCUGCCCGGUGCCGGAAGGUUAAUUGAUGGGGUCAGCGCAAGCGAAGCUCUUGAUCGAAGCCCCGGUAAACGGCGGCCGUAACUAUAACGGUCCUAAGGUAGCGAAAUUCCUUGUCGGGUAAGUUCCGACCUGCACGAAUGGCGUAAUGAUGGCCAGGCUGUCUCCACCCGAGACUCAGUGAAAUUGAACUCGCUGUGAAGAUGCAGUGUACCCGCGGCAAGACGGAAAGACCCCGUGAACCUUUACUAUAGCUUGACACUGAACAUUGAGCCUUGAUGUGUAGGAUAGGUGGGAGGCUUUGAAGUGUGGACGCCAGUCUGCAUGGAGCCGACCUUGAAAUACCACCCUUUAAUGUUUGAUGUUCUAACGUUGACCCGUAAUCCGGGUUGCGGACAGUGUCUGGUGGGUAGUUUGACUGGGGCGGUCUCCUCCUAAAGAGUAACGGAGGAGCACGAAGGUUGGCUAAUCCUGGUCGGACAUCAGGAGGUUAGUGCAAUGGCAUAAGCCAGCUUGACUGCGAGCGUGACGGCGCGAGCAGGUGCGAAAGCAGGUCAUAGUGAUCCGGUGGUUCUGAAUGGAAGGGCCAUCGCUCAACGGAUAAAAGGUACUCCGGGGAUAACAGGCUGAUACCGCCCAAGAGUUCAUAUCGACGGCGGUGUUUGGCACCUCGAUGUCGGCUCAUCACAUCCUGGGGCUGAAGUAGGUCCCAAGGGUAUGGCUGUUCGCCAUUUAAAGUGGUACGCGAGCUGGGUUUAGAACGUCGUGAGACAGUUCGGUCCCUAUCUGCCGUGGGCGCUGGAGAACUGAGGGGGGCUGCUCCUAGUACGAGAGGACCGGAGUGGACGCAUCACUGGUGUUCGGGUUGUCAUGCCAAUGGCACUGCCCGGUAGCUAAAUGCGGAAGAGAUAAGUGCUGAAAGCAUCUAAGCACGAAACUUGCCCCGAGAUGAGUUCUCCCUGACUCCUUGAGAGUCCUGAAGGAACGUUGAAGACGACGACGUUGAUAGGCCGGGUGUGUAAGCGCAGCGAUGCGUUGAGCUAACCGGUACUAAUGAACCGUGAGGCUUAACCUU
rnacentral:rRNA from 1 species